AGCUUUGUGCAGUGAGAGUAUUAUAGCCAAAGAGGUUUAUCCCAGGCAUGAUUAUUGCUAAUUGAAAACGUUUCUCAAUACUCCACUAUAACAACUUGAAAUAUAGUCAGCUUUGGGAAUUUUUUAAAUUUUAAAUUUUUAAA